rnacentral:piRNA from 1 species
UAGAUGUGUUGCUGGAGCAUGCUGCUGGU